rnacentral:rRNA from 1 species
UACAGAGGGUGCGAGCGUUAAUCGGAAUUACUGGGCAUAAAGGGUGCGUAGGUGGCUUGUUAAGUCAGGGGUGAAAGUUUUCGGCCCAACCGGAAAAUGGCCUUUGAUACUGGCGAGCUCGAGUGCGUGAGGGGUAACCGGAACGAGCAGUGUAGCGGUGAAAUGCGUAGAUAUUGCUCGGAAGGCCAACGGCGAAGGCAGGUUACUGGUGCGCAACUGACACUGAGGCACGAAAGCGUGGGGAGCAAACAGG